GUGAUUAUUAACAAUAAAUGCAUCGCUAGAAACCAAGAUUUGACAACAUAACUGCCAAAUGUAGCUUCUAAGAGAAGUUAAAUAUAAUAACUGCAACAACCCGAAUUUGACAAGACCCCAGACCAAAUUUUGUCAAAAUUAUGCAUCUGCUAGAGAUGAGAAAAGGUAAAAAAUUCAUCCAUAAAGGAAAGCACAACUAUGGAGAAAAGUCACAAUAACAUGUGCAAUUUUUGUUAGAGUUUGAAAUCUUAAUACCACACCAGUAAAUCGGUGGGGAAAUAACAUCAUUGUGAGAGUUGGGCCUUUUAAAUCUACAAACAACCCUCACCCUCCACAAGUCCAUGGGGGGUAGCUGACCACCUCUUACUCAGCAAUAGCUUCCUAAUUAGCUACAGUAAGAUACCAUGACUCCCAUGAUUUUUAUGCCAACCUUAAACCAAGUUAGAUUUAACCAGAGACAUUGGGUCAAGUCAGAAGUUGCCUUCCAAAUGAAAAGAUUUCACCACGAACUCAGAUAAAUACUUGUUUACACUAUUACUAUCAAACAUAUUUCUUCCAGAAUCCAAUUCCCCCUUUAGAUCUAUGCAUAUGUCAAAUUCAAAAAGCUCUCACUUGGACAUCAGUUCAGUACCUACAAUAUGGAUGAUAGACAGUGAUAUCAUUUUUCCUGAGAAAAAGGUUAACAUAUCAAGUUUGCUGCUGAUGGCAAAAUACCUAACCAAUAAAGCAACUAGGGGGCAGGUGGUGAUUAGACUCAUCAAUUAAUGAUGCCUAG
rnacentral:misc_RNA from 1 species